CGCAGAGGAGACUGAUUGGGGAAUGAUUGGUAAGCUUGUGCCAAUUCCAUUCCUCUUUCUGUCUCCACCG
rnacentral:miRNA from 1 species